AAUUUUGGACAAUGGGGCAAACCUCGAUCCAGCCAUGCCGGGUGUCUGAUGAUGGCCUUCGGGUUGUAAAGUCCUCUUGUCAGAGAAGAAAAGGUACCUCUUAAUACGAGGUACUGCUGACGGCAUCUGCAGAAUAAGCACCGGCCACCUACGUGCCAGUAGACGCGGUUAUACGUAGGGUGCAAGUGUUAAUCGGAAUUACUGGGCGUAAAGCGUGUGUAGGAGGUUCGGAAAAAAAGAUGUGAAAUCCCAGCGCUCAACCUUGGAACUGCAAUUUGAACUGCCGAGCUAGAGUAUGUCAGAGGGGGGUAGAAUUCAACGUGGAACAGUGAAAUGCGUAGAUAUGUGGGGGAAUACCGAUGGCGAAGGCAGCCCCCUGGGAUAAUACUGACGGUCAGACACGAAAGCGUGGGGAGCAAACA
rnacentral:rRNA from 1 species